rnacentral:rRNA from 1 species
CCUACGGGUGGCAGCAGUGAGGAAUAUUGGUCAAUGGGCGCAAGUCUGAACCAGCCAUGCCGCGUGCAGGAAGACGGCUCUAUGAGUUGUAAACUGCUUUUGUACGAGGGUAAACGCAGAUACGCGUAUCUGUCUGAAAGUAUCGUACGAAUAAGGAUCGGCUAACUCCGUUCCAGCAGCCGCGGUAAUACGGAGGAUUCAAGCGUUAUCCGGAUUUAUUGGGUUUAAAGGGUGCGUAGGCGGUCGGAUAAUGUAGAGGUGAAAGCCCGAGGCUCAACCUCGGAAUUGCCUCUGAUACUGUUAGGCUAGAGAGUAGUUGCGGUAGGCGGAAUGUAUGGUGUAGCGGUGAAAUGCUUAGAGAUCACAAAGAACACCGAUUGCGAAGGCAGCUUACCAAGCUACUUCUGACGUUGAGGCACGAAAGCGUGGGGAGCAAACAGGAUUAGAUACCCGGGUAGUC